rnacentral:sRNA from 1 species
UUGACAUUCUGAACGUGAAGGCAUACUUUCAGGAGUGAGGGUAGAGCGGGGUUUCCCCCGCCCCGGUAGUCUUAGUAUGCUGGGUAGCUAAUCACUAAGAGCAUGAGUAUCUUCAUCAUGACCCUUUCCUUAUU